AAAGUGCUGCAACAUUUGAGC
rnacentral:miRNA from 1 species